GAUAUGGUGAGCUCAGUGGUUAAGACUUUGGACUUCUCAUCAGAAGGUUGUGAGUUCAAAUCCCAGCACUGCCA